CGCGCCCUCGCGAGCGUGCACAAGGCGCCGUACGCGGUGACAGGAGCAAAAAGGACAGCCUCCAGGAGCUCCGGCCAAUGGCCCGUCGACACGGCGUUGCUGCUCUUCUGCCGGACCUGUGGUCGGCGGAGGGGCCAAGCAUAAAACGCGGCGAAACGCCGAAGCCUGCCUCUCUAGUUGGAGGUAGCGGCCGGGAGGCAGCCAAAUGGCGACGCUCGCCUCCACUCCCUUCGUUCGUCCAGGCGUCGCCGGCUAUGUGGCAUGCAUCCGCGGCUGGUGACCUCGUGUGCCGCCAUUGCCGGAGGCUGGCUGGGCGUCCGCGGCGCCGGUGUUACAUCUCAGGGAAAUGUGUGCAUGCCAAGAUUCCUGCGGUUCCGGACUGAUUGGUGAGAUUACAGUUAUAAGGCAGCCUGCAAUACAAACAGGCUUACUAAUGCCCUGGAAUAAGCUACACAAUACUCAGAAAAAUGACAACAGAACCAACUUGUCGCUGUCUUAUGGUAAACAUCAAUGGUAGCCUGAUUCUUGUAUAGCCAGAACAUCUUUGACUUCACAUCACAGGACAGUUCAUCCAAGUACAGUUCUACACAAUACAGGUCUAUAGCACAGUAGCACAUCUACCUUUAUUGCUGAAUUUAGAAAAUGUACUAGCAGCUUACUUCCUCUGAGUUGUGCUGAAACAGUGAAACUAUCAAACACAGCCACAUGUAUUGUGAAUUAGCCAGUGAGUUCUUUUUUCAAUGUAUUUUACCUAUCAUUUACCAAGAUAUAGGAACUGACACGUUCAGGACCAUUAAGAGUCUAGAUGCAACUACAUCAUUGAACUGUCUGUUGUGCUUGAGAAUAGUCAAUCCAAAUGAAAAAUAUAUGCCGUACACCAUCAGGUAGGAGAUUUUUUUGGUAAGGAACCAUGGAUUGCUUAUGUCUAGUUGGAGUGUCAAGAGCGAGACUGGAGCAACUAAGAUCAUGCUAAAACUGUGAACUGCCUAAUUAAUGAAAAUGGCUGAAAACAGAGCAUUUUCUGAUGGUGCA